CAGCUCAUUUCUGCAGUGAGAGGAUGGAGCACCAGGUGCUGGGAGGGCCUAAGGAGGGUCAGUGAGGCGCAGGCAGGAAGCCGAGGCUCAGGUUCACCCGGGCUGACAGCGGAGGAGGCAGGAGGCUGACACAGCUCCUUAAUACGCAGCGUCCAGGCUCUCCCUGGACGGCAAGCUUGGGGGCCACAGCAGCCUCCCCACUCUGCAGCACAGCCCCAUGGCGCCCACAGUGCUGUCUCUGCAGUCCCUCCCUCCCGCCGCUGGCCAGCAGCAGAAACUGCCAUCUCGAGUGACUGGAGUUCCGGGAGGAAGAGCCUUUAUCACGCACCAGAGAUUUCUGUGCAAACACGACUGCAUCUUCGACACAUCUUUGACAGACUCGAUGAUCCUUGCUUUCCCUGCCUGCUGGUGAUGGAGGCUGUCCUUAUCCCUCCCCCUCAGGAACCUAUAAAUAGAGGGAUAGAUGCACAUGCACACGCAUGCACACGCGCACACGGGGA
rnacentral:lncRNA from 1 species